UUACUCUGGUUCCUCUUCAGAUCGAAUAAAGCUUUCGCUUUACUAAAGUUUUCUGUGGCGUGGAUCAUUCAUGAGUUUUCAAAAAAAAAAAAUUUGAAGCUCUGUCCCUUACAGGGCU